GCCGCGGGAUGUCAGGGGAGCGAAGCCGGGCAUAAAGAAGUGAAGACGGGGGAACGGCACCAUGUUGACUGCCAACUUGCGGAGAUCCGCAUUCAGUUGACCAGGGAACCGCAGACACGUCGUCACGCCGGACAUGGUGAGCGACACCAGGUGGUUAAGGUCUCCGUACGUGGGUGUGGAUAGUUUGAGCGUGCGGAAGCAGAUGUCAUAUAGGGCCUCGUUGUCGAUACAGUAGGUCUCGUCUGUGUUUUCUACUAACUGGUGGACUGAUAGUGUGGCGUUGUAAGGUUCUAC